rnacentral:rRNA from 1 species
CCUACGUGAGGCAGCAGUGAGGAAUAUUGGUCAAUGGGCGCGAGCCUGAACCAGCCAAGUAGCGUGAAGGAUGAAUGCCCUACGGGUUGUAAACUUCUUUUAUAAAGGAAUAAAGUGAGGCACGUGUGCCUUUUUGUAUGUAUUUUAUGAACAAGUAUCGGCUAACCCCGUGCCAGCAGCCGCGGCAAUACGGCGGAUCCGAGCGUUAUCCGGAUUUAUUGGGUUUAAAGGGAGCGUAGAUGGGUUGUUAAGUCAGUUGUGAAAGUUUGCGGCUCAACCGUAAAAUUGCAAUUGAUACUGGCAGCCUUGAGUACAGUUGAGGUAGGCGGAAUUCGUGGUGUAGCGGUGAAAUGCUUAGAUAUCACGAAGAACUCCGAUUGCGAAGGCAGCCUACUAAACUGCCACUGACAUUGAUGCUCGAAAGUGUGGGUAUCAAACAGGAUUAGAUACCCCUGUAGUC